UAGGUGACAUCUAAGAAAGGCCACAGAUCC
rnacentral:piRNA from 1 species